AUGAGUCCAGCUUCAGUGCCAUGGAGCUCCCUAGUAUGCGGUACCCUCGGCUUUGUGCUUCUAUGGGAGGCUAGCCGGUUGGUAGAUUUGCUAUGGUGGCGCCCGUGGUGGCUUAAGCGUGCCUUGCGUGCCCAGGGUCUCUGCGGCACGUCUUACCGCUUCCUCGUCGGAGAUCUCAUCGACUACGGGCGGCGGGACAAGGAGGCACGAUCGAGGUCAAUGCCUCUGCGCUGUCACAACAUAGCCCCACUCUUCCCGCCGUUCCUCCACGACCUUGUCCGGGAGCAUGAAAAGACAUGUAUAUCUUCGUUGAGUGUGUUCCCCAAGGUCACCAUCAGCGACCCUGACUUAGCCAAGGAAGUGUUGUCGAACAAGUUCGGCCACUUCGAGAAGCUCAAGUUUCCGGCUCUGUCUAGGCAUCUUGCCCGAGGACUAGCGGCUUACGACGGCGAGAAAUGGGUCAAUCAUAGAAGGAUCCUUAACCCCGCAUUCCAUCUCGAGAAGCUCAAGCUCAUGAUGCCAGCCUUGUCUACAUGCUGCCAAGAGCUUGUCGGUAGAUGGACGUGA
rnacentral:rRNA from 1 species